rnacentral:rRNA from 1 species
AGUGAACGCUGGCGGUAGGCCUAACACAUGCAAGUCGAACGGCAGCACAGUAAGAGCUUGCUCUUACGGGUGGCGAGUGGCGGACGGGUGAGGAAUACAUCGCAAUCUACUUUUUCGUGGGUGAUAACGUAGGGAAACUUACGCUAAUACCGCAUACGACCUACGGGUGAAAGCAGGGGAUCUUCGGACCUUGCGCGAUUGAAUGAGCCGAUGUCGGAUUAGCUAGUUGGCGGGGUAAAGGCCCACCAAGGCGACGAUCCGUAGCUGGUCUGAGAGGAUGAUCAGCCACACUGGAACUGAGACACGGUCCAGACUCCUACGGGAGGCAGCAGUGGGGAAUAUUGGACAAUGGGCGAAAGCCUGAUCCAGCCAUGCCGCGUGGGUGAAGAAGGCCUUCGGGUUGUAAAGCCCUUUUGUUGGGGAAGAAAAGCAGCAGGUUAAUACCCCGCUGUUCUGACGGUACCCAAAGAAUAAGCACCGGCUAACUUCGUG